rnacentral:rRNA from 1 species
GAUGAACGCUGGCGGCGUGCCUAAUACAUGCAAGUCGAGCGAACGGACGAGAAGCUUGCUUCUCUGAUGUUAGCGGCGGACGGGUGAGUAACACGUGGAUAACCUACCUAUAAGACUGGGAUAACUUCGGGAAUCCGGAGCUAAUACCGGAUAAUAUUUUGAACCGCAUGGUUCAAAAGUGAAAGACGGUCUUGCUGUCACUUAUAGAUGGAUCCGCGCUGCAUUAGCUAGUUGGUAAGGUAACGGCUUACCAAGGCAACGAUGCAUAGCCGACCUGGGAGGGUGAUCGGCCACACUGGAACUGAGACACGGUCCAGACUCCUACGGGAGGCAGCAGUAGGGAAUCUUCCGCAAUGGGCGAAAGCCUGACGGAGCAACGCCGCGUGAGUGAUGAAGGUCUUCGGAUCGUAAAACUCUGUUAUUAGGGAAGAACAUAUGUGUAAGUAACUGUGCACAUCUUGACGGUACCUAAUCAGAAAGCCACGGCUAACUACGUG